rnacentral:misc_RNA from 1 species
CAGAGUUCAUGCCCUUCGGGGUAGAUCUCCCACCCUGUGUAUUUAUACCUUUGUUGCUUUGGCAGGCCGUCAGGCUUCGGCUCGACUACCGGCUUCGGCUGGUAAGCGCCUGCCAGAGAACCUAAAACUCAUGUUUAAUCAUAUUGUCUGAGUACUAUAUAAUAGUUA